AGCGGCUGAGGACGAUACAAUAAGACUACGCCCUCGCCUUUUACUAGGGCGUACCGUGUAUUGUCCUCACUCAAAGCCGCUCAGCAAUCUUUGGAACAAGAACUACUUGAGAGUUCAU
rnacentral:snRNA from 1 species